GUUUCAAUUCCUCAUAGGCAGGCUAUCGGCGGCUACAAAAAGGUGUACUGGUGCACCAAGAUGGAG
rnacentral:sRNA from 1 species